AAGCUGCCCACCUACUCCUACAGCGCCCCACAGGGUUCUUUCGAAGACUCAGUGGAGUACGAUGAUGCCAAGUACGACUUCAACUGGGCUGUGAAGGACUCCGACUCCGGCAACGACUUCGGACACCAGGAGUCCCGCGACGGCGACAACACUCAGGGAUCCUACUACGUGCAGCUC
rnacentral:misc_RNA from 1 species